UGUGGCUUAAGUUCACUUGUAUUCAUGCAUCAGCGGCGAAGGCUCACUUCUUGCCUCUGGAUCAGCUGACUGCACAGUUAAACUGUGGGAUGUCAAUGCAAGUGCAAAGAUGUCGAGAUCAGAGGAAAAAACUGGGAGCUCAAACAGACUCAGAUCGUUGAGGACUCUCCCUACCAAAUCUACACCAGUUUACUCUCUGACGUUUUCAAGGAGGAAUCUGCUAUUUGGAGCCGGGGUUCUAUCUAAACACUCGAGAACAGAUUAGCAGAUAAUGAUACA